UACGAAGGGGGCUAGCGUUGCUCGGAAUUACUGGGCGUAAAGCGCACGUAGGCGGCUUUCUAAGUCGGGGUGAAAUCCUGGAGCUCAACUCCAGAACUGCCUUCGAUACUGGAGCUUGAGUCCGGGAGAGGUGAGUGGAACGUGCGAGUGUAGAGGUGAAAUUCGUAGAUAUUCGCAAGAACACCAGUGGCGAAGGCGGCUCACUGGCCCGGUACUGACGCUG
rnacentral:rRNA from 1 species